ACCCAGUUCACCUUAAUGUUCUGGUACCAUCAGUUCCCAGAACAGAGCUUGGCGCUGAUGGCAACCACAAACCAGGGUCUGGAGGCCACUUACGAACAUGGAUUUACCAAGGACAAGUUUCCCAUCAGCCGCCCAACCCUAGUGUUCUCAACUAUGACCAUAAGCAACGUGAGCCUUGAAGAUGGCAGCUUUUACUUCUGUAGUGCCGGAGACACAGUACUCAGCACGGAUCAGAGGUCUGAGCAAGAACCUCAGCCAGCUCCCUCCUGUCUGGCUCCCACCGGAUGAACCCGAGGCCCCAGCCAAGGCAGAGGCAGGCGGCCCCACAACGUGCCAGUCCCCUCUGCUGCAUUCCCAAGGCUGGGAAAGGGAACAGAUGUGAUGGGUUCUAGAGCUCUAAGCCCAGAACGUGCUCAAACACAGUGGCGCUGAAGUGGAUUGUCCUCAAAUUGGAACUGUACAGGUGCCUGUGUGAAGUGAGCACUCCGUGCUGAGCCUUGGAGAUCCUCUGGGCAGGUUGGCCAAUAAGAAGUGGACAAAUAAGCGGCUGCCUUCCAAAUGGACAACACAUUCUAGAGUUUUUAUAAUCCAAAUGAGUGGACAGAGCCCAACUGACUGAUUGGGCUUAUCACUGAACUUUGCUUGUGGGGCUCAAUCUGGAUCUAAUAUGAUUUAGAAAGAUAAAUACACAUGCCAUUAAUUAAAUCUGAGUAUCAUGGGACAAGUCAUGACUGCUACAAUAAUAACAGCCCACAUGCCUACUCCUUUUGGACUCUCUCCUGCCUUUCUUCUGCUUACUACCCUCCAAUAGAUGCUGGAGCCACUUAAGCAGCUCUAAUAGGCUCAGGGACGAGACAAGGAGGGGUGGGAAUGUGAACAGGAAGGCCGUAACAUUACAGGAACCAGUCUUUCAUUAGCUAGUGUUAAAGCCUUAAUUGCCAGAGACUUCCCACUUACCCCUCUAAAGAAGCCUGAAAAAUAGAUAAAAUAUGCAAAUGGAACCUUGCUCUGGGCACAAAACUUGAUCUUCCUUGGCUUCGAGGUGGGGAGCAGGACAAGGGGGAGAGAAAGGGUGGACACCCCCAUUUAGCCAAUCAGCUAUGGCCAGCCUACGCCUCGACACCUCUGUCUCAGCCUUCAUGUUUUUCUGGGCCACACAAAGUGCCCCCCUUCACUAUCAAGAGUCAGUGAUUCCCAGGCUCAGAUAUUGAAGAAAGCAGUUCUUAUCGGAUGAGAAAUUGUGCCAUGGUGAAAAUAUGUGGUUUAGAAAAAAAUAACAGAGGAAGAAAAAAGCUGGAAGUUUAAAGAGAAGACAGCUCGGAAUUGGAUAAUGUGGUUGGAGAUCAGUAAAAGACACUGGGCCGAAGGGGGAGUUGACUACAAGCGGAGGAGAAAUACCUGAGCCUGGUGGGGGUCGGGGUGGGCUUGGGAGAAAAGUGUUAAAAAAAAAAAACAAAAAACCCACAACUAGUGACUUGGAAUCUGACCAAAAUCUACUUUUCAGACCACUGAGAUGUCCCAAAGACCCCAGUGUGUAGCAACACAAUGGGAAAUAACUUAGCUUGUGUAGGGAAAGCCUCUGGUGUCAACUCCACAUUCAUCAGCCAGGUGACCCUGGAGAAGUCACUUACCUCUGAGCUUUAGAUUCUUUAUGGUAAAACGGAGAAAACGGUGUCUGUUGCCUAACUCAUGAGGCUGCACUGCGGAUCAAAUAAAGAAGAAGGGAAGCGAAUAUUCUAUGGUAGAGCAGGCGGGUUCUAGAGUCAACUAUCGUGCUUAAAUCCCAUCUCUACAACUUACUGGCUGUGUGACCUUGAGCAAGUUACUCCACCUCUACAUGGCUCAUUUCAUCAUCUACAAAAUGGGCAACCUCAUGGGUAGUUGUUAUAAUAAAGUGAAACAAAAAGGUCCAUGAAAGACUGAGACAAUGUUUGGGAUAGUAAGCACAAGGAAACUAUUCACUGUUACCGUAAUUAAAAGCCGGUGGUUUGAUACGCUAAUCGUAAAAUACGAACUAGGAGAAUGUCUUAGAGAAAUGCUCAGAAUGAAGAGUGUAAGAGCUGCACAGACUUAUCCAUAUUGAAUUUGGGCAAAGGGGCACCUGAAUCCAUCCUACAUGCCUGAGCCUAAAGCAUAAGGUAAUAAUGUCACUUACAGCUAUUUUCUCUCCCUAGAAGGUGAUUCCUGCUACGUUCAAGAAAACUGACUUCGUGCUGUGUUGUGGGUGUAAUAGUUUAUUCUGAGGAGGAGCACAAAAUAUCAGGAAAAAGCUAGUCUUGAGGCUUUAAACACAGAAAGUCCUCAAGCUCUUGGGUGUUCCCUUUCAGACAGAGUCAAAGCCACAAGCACCUAUCCAGAAAUGUUCUCCCUGUUCCCCAGUUUCCUACCAAGGAUCCCCUUUUCAUAGUGCACCUCUCCAGGGAACACUGGACGUGUUCCUCUCUUUAUCCACUACAGCAGGGCUUCCUACGAACAUCCCACAACAAAGGGAUAAAAUAGCAUAUUUGGUGACGUUACGGGGAAAGCCCCUACUGUCAAGGUUCCACAGCCGGGGGCAGCCACCCAGGAGCACAGAGAGAUAUGCCAUCCAUGCCUUGGACGUGGCAAGGUAAGGCUCUGAGACCGGGUGCCAGGUAGAGGACUAAUUAAUCUUCUAUUUCUGCCAGGGAGCCAAGCAUCAGGAGGGAUCAGGAGGUACAUUUUGUCCUCUGGGAGCCUCUGGCUCGAUCCCAAAUCGACAUUCCCUUAGAUGGCACCUGCAGCAAUUCCCAGACUUCCAACACUUUCCACGUCUUCCAGUAGCCUUGAGGCCAGCUCUGCCAUUUUUAGAUGUACGUUCUUGGGCAACACCGAACCUUGCUGAUUCUCAGUCUCUUCCUCUAGAAAUGGAAAUAAUUUCUUUCUGCACAUUUCACAAUUAAAACAUUUGUGAAAAGCCAAAUUUGAAACUCAACACAAACGAA